rnacentral:rRNA from 1 species
GCUCAGAACUUAAAGGAAGUUGACGGGGCCCGCACAAGCGGUGGAGUAUGUGGUUUAAUUCGAUGCAACGCGAGGAACCUUACCUGGUCUUGACAUCCCGGAGACCCUUAGGAAACUAGGGGGUGCUUCCAUCUGGAAGAAUCUGGAGACAGGUGCUGCAUGGCUGUCGUCAGCUCGUGUCGUGAGAUGUUGGGUUAAGUCCCGCAACGAGCGCAACCCUUGCCUUUAGUUGCCAGCAGUUCGGCUGGGCACUCUAAAGGGACUGCCGGUGUUAAACCGGAGGAAGGUGGGGAUGACGUCAAGUCCUCAUGGCCUUUAUGACCAGGGCUACACACGUACUACAAUGGCCGAUACAAAGGGCAGCGACACUGCGAGGUGAAGCCAAUCCCGUAAAAUCGGUCUCAGUCCGGAUUGGAGUCUGCAACUCGACUCCAUGAAGUUGGAAUCGCUAGUAAUCGUGGAUCAGCAUGCCACGGUGAAUACGUUCCCGGGCCUU